UACGGGGGGGGCAAGCGUUGUUCGGAAUUACUGGGCGUAAAGGGCUCGUAGGCGGCCAACUAAGUCAGACGUGAAAUCCCUCGGCUUAACCGGGGAACUGCGUCUGAUACUGAUGGCGUUGAGUUUGGGAGAGGGAUGCGGAAUUCCAGGUGUAGCGGUGAAAUGCGUAGAUAUCUGGAGGAACACCGGUGGCGAAGGCGGCAUCCUGGACCAACACUGACACUGAGGAGCGAAAGCCAGGGGAGCAAACGGG
rnacentral:rRNA from 1 species